UAUACAUAUGAUCUGGAUAUGAAAUAAUGCGAACAGGUUUGACCUUGUUGUCUGGGUUAACUUUCAUUUUUAACGGAUCUAGUUAAGUCGACAAACAGGUUGGAGUAUGUCAACAGACCUCCUGCUGGCAAUCCAAGAAAAAACAAUCUUUUUAGAGUACUGAUUUAUUCAUAAUUCAUCUUGUAUGAAUAUUCGCAAAGAUGUACUUUCUACUUUCUGUACAGCAGUCUUAUUGCGUCUUCUGUGUGGUAACAACGCAUUUCAUUCUAUCUAGUGUUCUAUUUAAAUUUUGGUAGACAUUUAUUAAGAUUCAGUUUCAAAGUGAGAAAAGAUAUAUGUUUGUUAUUCCUGUCUGUAUAGGCGAUUCAAACUGCUGACCUAAAUAAUUCCAAUAUCAUUUUUAAAGUGAACAGCGACCUAGAUAAACGGUUAUCUUCGCAUUUGUCCUUCUUCCGGAUCUCAGCCGCUAUGUAACCGGAUCAGCAUUACUCAAUACUUUAUCCGGCCGGAAAAAAAAUUGGGAGAUUGGAGUACAACAGACUCUUUAUUCUAUGACUCAUAUGGCCCUAUAAUAAUCCAGCGGUAAUAAUCAAAUGAUUUGAAAUCAGUGGGAGGAGGCAGGUGUGGCCGGGAAAAGUUUUUUGAAAAUUACAGAUUGAUUUCAUUUUAAUUGCGCUACCUGGUUGUUGACGUCCAUAUGCACACUCUACAUAACGCCUUUCGAAUGCGCAGCUGUCGGGACUUCUUGUGCCUUUCCUACUGGCGGCUUUAACGUGUCGGCCGACUUUCUAACUGGAAUUGUUCGACACGAAUUUUCCAAUUUUGGAAUUGGAUUUUUUUUAAAUGCCUAUUCUAAAGAUCGGAUUUUUCAGAGCUCUUUAGGUACAAUGAGAAAACAGCGAGCCAUAUUCCACCGGGGUUGUAACUCAGUGGUAGAGUGCUCGCUUCGCAUGUGAGAAGUCAGGGGUUCAAUCCCCCUCAACUCCAAUUGUGUUCGCUUUUUAAGUUCAAAUUUAUUUAAGACGAUUCAAUUUAUUUAGAUUAACAGAGUUUUUACGUGUCGUUGUGACGAUAAUUCGCGAUCAAAUUCAAUAUCCAGAAGAUUAUUCGCCUCCCAUCCUAACCCGUAUUUUAAUUUAAUUAUUCUAAAAUGAACUUAAAUGAUUUAAAAUCCAAUCUAAUGCAAAAUGUUUCCUAUUCACAUACUGUACCCAAUAU